CUUGUGCCCAUUUAAGUGUUCUUCCGCCACAGCAGCUUUAGGUAUUCAUCGAGGAAAGCGCUUUCGCCGAUGGAGCCAUAAACUGGAGAAAAGGACGCCCCGGACAAAGGGGCCAUUCCGUCAAUAAAUCGAACGGUUUGGAAUGGCCAUGGUAGGGUGGGCGACACGACCUCGACAACACCAGAGGCGGAGUUGAGAUACCUUUCCAGCACACAUCCACAAUUCUAUUCAGGGAUAAACAGUGUCUCCCGGUUAAGCAUUUUCGUCGUGACACGUUACA